rnacentral:rRNA from 1 species
UACGGGGGGGCGAAGCGUUGUUCGGAAUUACUGGGCGUAAAGGGCUCGUAGGCGGCCAACUAAGUCAGACGUGAAAUCCCUCGGCUUAACCGGGGGAACUGCGUCUGAUACUGGAUGGCUUGAGUUUGGGAGAGGGAUGCGGAAUUCCAGGUGUAGCGGUGAAAUGCGUAGAUAUCAGUCGGAACACCCAUGCGAAGCAGCUGCCUGGCCUAAUACUGACGUGAGGUGACGAAGGCGUGGGGAGCGAACGGG